rnacentral:rRNA from 1 species
AUCAUAGCGGGAGGAGACUAACAAGGAUUCCCUUAGUAACGGCGAGUGAACAGGGAUGAGCCCAGCACCGAAGCCUGUGGUCGUUUGGCCCCUAGGCAAUGUGGUGUUCAGGUUAGCUCGCGGGGAUACUGCUCCAUCCUAAGUCCUGUAAUGAGAAAGGUUACUUGGACAUGGCCCAACGAGGGUGAAAGGCCCGCAGGGGUGGAGACUCAGAUAUGCCGGUAUCUCCCUGAGCAGACCUUGGAGUCGGGUUGUUUGUGAAUGCAGCCCAAAGUGGGUGGUAAACUCCAUCCAAGGCUAAAUACUUGCACGAGUCCGAUAGCGAACAAGUACCGUGAGGGAAAGUUGAAAAGUACUUUGAAGAGAGAGUAAACAGUGCGUGAAACCGCUCAGAGGUAAACAGGUGGAGUUGAACUGCAAGCUUCGAGGAUUCAGCUGGUGAGUUUGGUAUGAGCUUGGUCAUAUGGGUUGUUUGUUCGGGUCUGCUUAGCUGCAGGUCCUCGCCUCUGGUGGGGAUGCGCGUAUCGCUUAUCAAGCUUUGUGCGCCCGGGCUUUCUCGGACCUGCUCGCCAGUGCACUUUCUCGGAGUGUUCACCACGACCGGCGUUGCUGUCUGGCUGGUGCGGUUAAACCGGUCUUGUAGGGUCCUUGUGGCCUUGCUUGGUCGGGAUGGCAGGUUGCCCGUUGUGUACUUCUGUGCGCCUCGGGUUGAUAGCCGACUGCAUCGGUUCUGUGCGGUACGUCGGAGACGGCGGCUUUUGUGCGUGCGGGCGUGCCUGUUGCGCUGGCGGCUCUGAGUCUGGUUGCCUUGUUGCUUGUAAAUGCAGGCCGGGUGAUGGCUCGGGGUCGUUUGGUGUGCGGUUGCGUUCGUGGUACUUUAAAGGGCCUAAAGUCUGUGGUGUAGUGGUAGACUAUCCACCUGACCCGUCUUGAAACACGGACCAAGGAGAGUAACAUGUGCGCGAGUCAUUGGGCGUUACGAAACCCAAAGGCGAAGUGAAAGUAAAGGUUCGGCUUGUCUGGACUGAGGUGAGAUCCUGUCGUUUCUUACGCGUGGUACUACCAAGCAUCGAGCGGCAGGCGCAUCACCGGCCCGUCCCAUGGCGUAGUAGCGGCCUCGUGCUUGCUCAUCGUCGGGGCGGAGCAUGAGCGUACAUGUUGAGACCCGAAAGAUGGUGAACUAUGCUUGCGCAGGUUGAAGCCAGAGGAAACUCUGGUGGAGGACCGCAGCGAUUCUGACGUGCAAAUCGAUCGUCAAACGUGAGUAUAGGGGCGAAAGACUAAUCGAACCAUCUAGAGUGCCAC